CCUACGGGUGGCAGCAGUGAGGAAUAUUGGUCAAUGGACGAGAGUCUGAACCAGCGAAGCAGCGUGAGUGAUGAAGGUUCUAUGGAUCGUAACCCUCUUUUAUAAGGGAAUAAGGUGUGGGACGUGUCCUGUUUUGUAUGUACCUUAUGAAUAAGGAUCGGCUAACUCCGUGCCAGCAGCCGCGGUAAUACGGAGGAUCCGAGCGUUAUCCGGAUUUAUUGGGUGUAAAGGGUGCGUAGGCGGCGUUUUAAGUCAGCGGUGAAAGUCUGUGGCUCAACCAUCGAAUUGCCGUUGAAACUGGGAGGCUUGAGUAUGUUUGAGGCAGGCGGAAUGCGUGGUGUAGCGGUGAAAUGCUUAGAUAUCACGCAGAACCCCGAUUGCGAAGGCAGCCUGCCAAGCCAUGACUGACGCUGAUGCACGAAAGCGUGGGGAUCAAACAGGAUUAGAUACCCUUGUAGUC
rnacentral:rRNA from 1 species